GCUUGCUCCCGGAUGUUAGCGGCGGACGGGUGAGUAACACGUGGGUAACCUGCCUGUAAGACUGGGAUAACUCCGGGAAACCGGAGCUAAUACCGGAUAGUUCCUUGAACCGCAUGGUUCAAGGAUGAAAGACGGUUUCGGCUGUCACUUACAGAUGGACCCGCGGCGCAUUAGCUAGUUGGUGAGGUAACGGCUCACCAAGGCGACGAUGCGUAGCCGACCUGAGAGGGUGAUCGGCCACACUGGGACUGAGACACGGCCCAGACUCCUACGGGAGGCAGCAGUAGGGAAUCUUCCGCAAUGGACGAAAGUCUGACGGAGCAACGCCGCGUGAGUGAUGAAGGUUUUCGGAUCGUAAAGCUCUGUUGUUAGGGAAGAACAAGUGCAAGAGUAACUGCUUGCACCUUGACGGUACCUAACCAGAAAGCCACGGCUAACUACGUGCCAGCAGCCGCGGUAAUACGUAGGUGGCAAGCGUUGUCCGGAAUUAUUGGGCGUAAAGGGCUCGCAGGCGGUUUCUUAAGUCUGAUGUGAAAGCCCCCGGCUCAACCGGGGAGGGUCAUUGGAAACUGGGAAACUUGAGUGCAGAAGAGGAGAGUGGAAUUCCACGUGUAGCGGUGAAAUGC
rnacentral:rRNA from 1 species